GAAUCUGUCCGUUGGUCGGGCUUCACUGUCCGUACUGGUGUGGUGGGUUCUUACCUUCUGAAUAACCAGCAUGCCAUUCACUUGGUGCGCUGGGGAAGCAGGACUAUUACCUUGAAAAAACUAGAGUGCUCAAAGCAGGCUAGCGCCUGAAUACAUUAGCAUGGAAUAAUAAAAUAGGACGGCAUGGUUCUAUUUUGUUGGUUCCUAGGAUCACCGUAAU
rnacentral:rRNA from 1 species